rnacentral:rRNA from 1 species
AUUGAACGCUGGCGGCAGGCCUAACACAUGCAAGUCGAGCGGAUGAAGGGAGCUUGCUCCUGGAUUCAGCGGCGGACGGGUGAGUAAUGCCUAGGAAUCUGCCUGGUAGUGGGGGAUAACGUCCGGAAACGGGCGCUAAUACCGCAUACGUCCUGAGGGAGAAAGUGGGGGAUCUUCGGACCUCACGCUAUCAGAUGAGCCUAGGUCGGAUUAGCUAGUUGGUGGGGUAAAGGCCUACCAAGGCGACGAUCCGUAACUGGUCUGAGAGGAUGAUCAGUCACACUGGAACUGGAACACGGUCCCGGCUCCUACGGGAAGCAACAGUGGGGAAUAUUGGGCAAUUGGCGGAAGCCUGGUCCAACCAUGCCGCGUGGGUGGAAGAAGUCUUCGGAUUGUAAAGCACUUUAAGUUGGGAGGAAGGGCAGUAAGUUAAUACCUUGCUGUUUUGACGUUACCAACAGAAUAAGCACCGGCUAACUUCGUG